rnacentral:rRNA from 1 species
AUUGAACGCUGGCGGCAUGCCUUACACAUGCAAGUCGAACGGCAGCACGGGAGCAAUCCUGGUGGCGAGUGGCGAACGGGUGAGUAAUAUAUCGGAACGUGCCCAGUCGUGGGGGAUAACGUAGCGAAAGCUACGCUAAUACCGCAUACGAUCUACGGAUGAAAGCGGGGGACUCGCAAGAGCCUCGCGCGAUUGGAGCGGCCGAUAUCAGAUUAGGUAGUUGGUGGGGUAAAGGCUCACCAAGCCAACGAUCUGUAGCUGGUCUGAGAGGACGACCAGCCACACUGGGACUGAGACACGGCCCAGACUCCUACGGGAGGCAGCAGUGGGGAAUUUUUGGGACAAUGGGCGCAAGCCUGAUCCAGCAAUGCCGCGUGCAGGAUGAAGGCCUCGG